rnacentral:rRNA from 1 species
CAGUCGCCGCGGGAAUACAGAGGGGGCGAGCGUUAAUCGGAUUUACUGGGCGUAAAGCGUGCGUAGGCGGCUUUUUAAGUCGGAUGUGAAAUCCCUGAGCUUAACUUAGGAAUUGCAUUCGAUACUGGGAAGCUAGAGUAUGGGAGAGGAUGGUAGAAUUCCAGGUGUAGCGGUGAAAUGCGUAGAGAUCUGGAGGAAUACCAAUGGCGAAGGCAGCCAUCUGGCCUAAUACUGACGCUGAGGUACGAAAGCAUGGGGAGCAAACAGGAUUAGAUACCCCAGUAGUCCCUGUCUCUUAUAC